AGGGACGGUGAUUGAUCCAGUAAGAUUGGUGCAUAGGUCGCUUCCCAUUUUGGGUAGACAAGUCUCAAGUUAACAGUGUGGGGAUACUGGAGCGAAUGUGCAGGUUGUUGUUAGAGAACAAGGGUACCGAGCGUGACCAACGCGAGAAGUUAUUUGGAUGUCUACUUACUCAUCGUUGUGACUGAUCGCAUAGGUAGAUAGCGAUUUUUGAAUCGCCGGAAAACCUAAUUAUCAAUAUGUUGAUAAUUGGAUCAAUUUGUAAUUGUUACAAAUAUGUGGUAUUAAAGUG
rnacentral:lncRNA from 1 species